rnacentral:rRNA from 1 species
UGGGGAAUUUUGCACAAUGGGGGAAACCCUGAUGCAGCGACGCCGCGUGAUUUAGAAGGCCUUCGGGUUGUAAAAAUCUUUUCUAUGGGAAGAAAAUGACAGUACCAUAGGAAUAAGGACCGGCUAAUUACGUGCCAGCAGCCGCGGUAAUACGUAAGGUCCGAGCGUUGUCCGGAAUCAUUGGGCGUAAAGGGUACGUAGGCGGGUAAGCAAGUUAGAAGUGAAAUCCUAUAGCUCAACUAAAGUAAGCUUUUAAAACUGCUCAUCUUGAGGUAUGGAAGGGAAAGUGGAAUUCCUAGUGUAGCGGAGAAAUGCGCAGAUAUUAGGAGGAAUACCGGUGGCGAAGGCGACUUUCUGGCCAUAACCUGACGCUGAGGUACGAAAGCGUGGGUAGCAAACAGG